rnacentral:lncRNA from 1 species
GUUGCAAGUUUAGUCCUUUAUACCCAACCCAGUUAAAAACCCCUGUUAAUUUUUGGCACCUGAUAAGCACAUGCGGGUAAUUAUGUCAUCCCCCCAACCACUUCAUUUCCCCCCCUUUUAUAACCCCCAGAAACCCUAAUUUCCAAUGUGCAACAUAAAGUCUUCAAAUUUUAGGGUUUCUCAAUGUGGUUUUGGGUGAUUGAUCAUGGUCAUCUGCCAAUGUGGGAAAGAGGCUGUGAUCGUAACAUCAUGGACUAGCAAGAACCCUGGUCGUCGAUUUUAUGCAUGCCUUGAACUCGGCAACAAUUGUUGAUUUAUUGGCUGGUAUGAUCAGGAAAGGUGUCAAAGAUGCGUCGAUAUCAUACCUGGUUUGCUAAGGAGGAAGAACACAUUGGAAGAAUCUAACAGGUUGCUUCAUCAGGCCAACAUAGUUGUUGAAGGCAAACUUAAAGAAAGUGAAGCAAAAGCUAUCAAAUUGAAGAAGUUUUUGGUUCUCAGUUGGGUCUUGUUCAUAUUCCAUGUGUUGUUUGUUUAAGUGCAGUAGUAUUUAAUCCUGAUGUAAGGACAUGAUGUAAUGUAUGUUGUUUUUUUGUGUUAAUGAAGUAGAAAGGUAUUAUGUACUUUUGAAUCUUAUGGUGGUAGAUCAAUAAUACAUUUUUGACG